GAUGCAAUGAGUGUUUCUUCUCGUUGUUCUGUGCUCCUGUCCUGCACCAUAAGAGCAUGUCCCAGGUCAUCAUGUUCUUUUGACCAGGCUCCUGGAAUGAGAGACGCUUGGAGCUGACCUGAACUGGACCUCUAGAAGCAGAGAUGCUGAGAACAUCUGCAGAUACAUGAUGGAUUGAGCAGUCCCUGAGUCAUAUACUCUACCAGAGAAUGAAUGAUGUCUGGUAAAUAAGAUGAUGAAUCUGACACAUAAAAGUACUGAGGGCCCAGUCAAGGCAAUAUCACUGGCUGUGAAAUGCUGAAGAGAAUCAGUUGAAAGAGAAAGA
rnacentral:lncRNA from 1 species